UACGGGGGGGGCAAGCGUUGCUCGGAAUCACUGGGCGUAAAGGGCGCGUAGGCGGGAUGGCAAGUCGGUCGUGAAAUCCUUCGGCUCAACCGAAGAACGUCGGCCGAUACUGCCGUUCUUGAGGGAUGCAGAGGAGAUUGGAAUUCCCGGUGUAGCGGUGAAAUGUGUAGAGAUCGGGAGGAACACCGGUGGCGAAGGCGGGUCUCUGGGCAUCUCCUGACGCUGAGGCGCGAAAGCGUGGGGAGCAAACAGG
rnacentral:rRNA from 1 species